UGUAACAAUCAAAUGAUUAUUUAGUCAUUUAAAGGGAAUUCCUAUAGUUUUUUAUGCGCAUCUUUCUGCGCAGCCUACACUUUCUAUGGAAAACUGAACUGAAGUCAACAUUUGUUGAAACAUGUUACAGACAAUCUUAAAUAUGAGGAAUUUUGAAUGAAAUAACAUUUUUGAUAAGUUAUAUCAGUAAUCAAAUGUUGAUACUGGUUUAUGUUGUAUUGACAAGUAUCAUGCCUGACAGGUAUCUUGCUAUUUUUGUGGUUGUGUUUUCACAUCGCAUUUUAGUACAAAGACAGUGUUGUUCAUAUAAUGUAAGAUAAUUGACUUAGUACUGAUAAGACAAUAUCAUCAUUCAGAUUAUUUAGUAUUCAAUUAUAGAAAGAAUUAAGAAAUUUUAAAACUUUUUUUAAACUUUUAGCAGACAUACAUGUAAUCAAUUUGGCCAGGUUCGCGCCAUUUCCGUCCGAACUGGUGUUGUAUUCUAGCGGUCUUAACAUAAAAUUUAGCCUGGUGACCCAUACAUUUUUAGCCAUUUUUAUGCUCACAAUACAAUUAUCUAUACACAAGAAGAAAAAGAAAAAAUUCUAUGAAAGAGUUUUUUCAAAAUUUAAAAACAAAUAUUCUUCACUAUGGGUAUUUUUCAUUGAAAAAAGUUCACAGAAGUAAAUAUAAAACAAUAUUUUUUUCAUUUGUACCCAUUAUUGUAAGGAUAGAGUAUUACAAAUAUGACUAUGAUAUCAAAUAAGUAUAUAAUAAAAUCUGUAAAAAGAAAAAACCGUAUUGUGCUGCCUGGAUGUAUAUUUUGGUUGGUAUUUAUAAAAAAGCAGAAAAUUAUGAAAAUGUUGAAAAAUCGCUGUCAGUUUCAGCAACAGUGACACCGUUCAAAACAAUUUUUCACAAAAACAAGCCUGGUGACCUAAUGUUUUUAUUUGUUCAUUGUUUUCAGCACCAAUUUUCCUAUCAUAUAUGUGAAUUUAAAAAAAUUCUAUGAAAGGAAAAAAAAUAUAGGAAUUCUCUUUAAAUGAAACCAUCGGAUGUUUCUCUCUGCAUCUAAUAUGGAUAAGACAGGCUGCUACUGCGUAACAUACUGCCAUCAAUGUAAAAUCGUUCGUUAACCUUCACAGAUAGGCUAACUAUAGAUUAAAGUCAAAAUGAAUAAGUUACAAAGCAUAUUCUAGCAUAAAACUGCUAUUUUGUUAUUUUUAAGUUGUGUUUUAACAGAAGAGUAAACUUUCGUUAACAAAGAGAUUCUCGCGCUUACAUGCUGUUAACACACUUUUUUUUUUAUAUAUAUGUGCGUUCCAUGGCAAAGCGUAAGGUAUUGCGGCCCCAUGAUGGAUAAUUCGAACGAAAUGACGUCAACUUGAUCAGACAUUGCUGACGUUCCCGCGCAUUUCAUGGACAUUUAAUGACGUUGACACGUACGAUGCUCUAGUUGGCAGUGGUAUCUAUGGCGAGGCUGCCCAUGUGCCAAGUGAAGCUUUAUUUGAAAUGAUAAGGCUUGUUAAACCAGGGGGUGCAUUGUCCUGACAACAAGACGUCAUCUUGUGACUGACGGAAUUGCUUAUACAGAUCUUGAGCCUCUGAUGGACAAAUUGGAGACGGAUGGAAAGUGGCAGAAGAUAUCACGUGACAUAUAUUCCGGAUGUUAUUAUGAUCUAGAUGGAAUAGUUUGGUGCUAUCAAGUUUUGUGAAUGUUGAUACGCGGUUGACCUCGUCAUAAAAUGUAAUAUUACAAAUAUUAUCACCUCUAGCACAAUUAUUCAUAUACGAGCGACUAAUAUAAACAGCUUAAAUAUUCACAUAAUCUUAAAAGUGUAUAGCCUUCGCAUACACAAAACAAUAUCUAAAUUAAAUUUUCAAAAUAGA